AAUUGUAUGCUACGAAUCGCCUUAAGUUGAUCUGGCUCAGGAUGAACGUGGGCGGCGUGCCUAAUACAUGCAAGUCGAGCGGAAAGGCUCUUCGGAGGUACUCGAGCGGCGGACGGCUGAGUAACACGUAGGAACAUACCCCGAAGUGAGGGAUAACUGCUCGAAAGAGUAGCUAAUACCGCAUGUGCUCUAAGGAGUAAAGCUUCGGCGCUUCGGGAAUGGCCUGCGUCUGAUUAGUUAGUUGGUGAGGUAAUGGCUCACCAAGGCGACGAUCAGUAGCUGGUCUGAGAGGAUGAUCAGCCAGACUGGGACUGAGACACGGCCCAGACUCCUACGGGAGGCAGCAGUAGGGAAUUUUCCACAAUGGGCGAAAGCCUGAUGGAGCAACGCCGCGUGCAGGAUGAAUGCCUUCGGGUUGUAAACUGCUUUUAUAUGUGACGAAUAUGACGGUAGCAUAUGAAUAAGGAUCGGCUAACUCCGUGCCAGCAGCCGCGGUCAUACGGAGGAUCCAAGCGUUAUCCGGAAUUACUGGGCGUAAAGAGUUGCGUAGGUGGCAUAGUAAGCGGGUAGUGAAAGCGUGUGGCUCAACCAUACUCACAUUAUCUGAACUGCUAAGCUAGAGGACGAGAGAGGUUAUUGGAAUUCCAAGUGUAGGAGUGAAAUCCGUAGAUAUUUGGAGGAACACCGAUGGCGUAGGCAGAUAACUGGCUCGUUCCUGACACUAAGGCACGAAAGCGUGGGGAGCAAACGGGAUUAGAUACCCCGGUAGUCCACGCCGUAAACGAUGGAUGCUAGCUGUUUGAGGUAUCGACCCCUCAUGUAGCGAAGCUAACGCGUUAAGCAUCCCGCCUGUGGAGUACGGUCGCAAGACUAAAACAUAAAGGAAUUGACGGGGACCCGCACAAGCGGUGGAGCGUGUUGCUUAAUUCGAUGGUAAGCGAAGAACCUUACCCAGGCUUGACAUCCUUGGAAGGCUUCCGAAAGGAAACUGUGCCCUUGGGAACCAAGUGACAGGUGUUGCAUGGCCGUCGUCAGCUCGUGUCGUGAGAUGUUUGGUUAAGUCCAUCAACGAGCGCAACCCCUAUAGUUAGUUGAAUUUUUCUAGCUGGACUGCCCCGGUAACGGGGAGGAAGGAGGGGAUGAUGUCAGGUCAGUAUUACCCUUACGUCUGGGGCUGCAAACACGCUACAAUGGCCGGUACAAAGGGCUGCCAAGUCGCGAGACGGAGCAAAUCCCAUCAAAGCCGGUCCAAGUUCGGAUAGCAGGCUGAACUCGCCUGCUUGAAGUCGGAAUCGCUAGUAAAGGUAGGUCAGCACACUACAUUGAUACAUU
rnacentral:rRNA from 1 species